CGGGGGGGGCGAAGCGUUGUUCGGAAUUACUGGGCGUAAAGGGCUCGUAGGCGGCCAACUAAGUCAGACGUGAAAUCCCCACGGCUCAACCUGGGAACUGCGUCUGAUACUGGUUGGCUUGAAUCCGGGAGAGGGAUGCAGAAUUCCAGGUGUAGCGGUGAAAUGCGUAGAUAUCUGGAGGAAUACCGGUGGCGAAGGCGGCAUCCUGGACCGGCAUUGACGCUGAUGAGCGAAAGCCAGGGGAGCAAACGGGAUUAGAUACCCCGGUAGUCCUGGCCCUAAACGAUGAAUGCUUGGUGUAACGGGUAUCGAUCCCUGUUGUGCCGAAGCUAACGCAUUAAGCAUUCCGCCUGGGGAGUACGGUCGCAAGGCUG
rnacentral:rRNA from 1 species